rnacentral:rRNA from 1 species
GANUAAGNCAUGCGAGUUAAAUGUUCUUCGUGAACAUAGCGAACUGCUCAGUAACACGUGGAUAACCUACCCUUAGGACNGGAAUAACCCCGGGAAACUGGGGAUAAUACCGGAUAAGCCAUAGACGCUGGAAUGCCCUAUGGUUCAAAGCUCCGGCGCCUAAGGAUGGAUCUGCGGUCUAUCAGGUUGUAGUGGGUGUAACGUACCUACUAGCCGACGACGGAUACGGGUUGUGAGAGCAAGAGCCCGGAGAUGGAUUCUGAGACACGAAUCCAGGCCCUACGGGGUGCAGCAGGCGCGAACACUUUACAAUGCGGGAAACCGCGAUAAGGGAACCCCGAGUGCCAGCAUCAAAUGUUGGCUGUCCAGAUGGUUAAAAAUCAUUUGUUAGCAAGGGCCGGGCAAGACCGGUGCCAGCCGCCGCGGUAACACCGGCGGCCCGAGUGGUAGCCGUUUUUAUUGGGUCUAAAGGGUCCGUAGCCGGCCUGAUAAGUCCUUUGGGAAAUCUGACAGCUUAACUGUCAGGCUUCUAAGGGAUACUGUCAGGCUUGGGACCGGAAGAGGUAAGGGGUACUCCAGGGGUAGGAGUGAAAUCUUGUAAUCCCUGGGGGACCAUCUGUGGCGAAGGCGCCUUACCAGAACGGGUCCGACGGUGAGGGACGAAAGCUAGGGGAGCAAACCGGAUUAGAUACCCGGGUAGUCCUAGCUGUAAACGAUGCUCGCUAGGUGUCAGACACGGUGCGACCGUGUUUGGUGCCGCAGGGAAGCCGUUAAGCGAGCCACCUGGGAAGUACGGUCGCAAGGCUGAAACUUAAAGGAAUUGGCGGG